ensembl:lncRNA
AGCAAACUGAAAAUCAAGGCCCGUCUCGGGGGCGGCUUGACAUCUCUAGUCCCCACGCCCGCGCGAGCCCGUGAGGGUCCGGCGGCGCCUCCACGCGCGGAACAGACCAGGGUCUCGGCCAGACGCGACCCCCCGGGGUACGGCACGGGCGCGGCCUACGGCCCCCAGCCCGUCCUGCGGCCGCCGGCCUACAGCCCGGGGGUCCGAGCGCGGCCGAGGGGCUGCGGAGCGCGCAGGCCCCGCGCCGCCGCCCCAGGCCUUGCCGAGCCCCGGCCUCUCCCCGGCGGACUGCGGGCAACAAAGGCGGCGGCCCGGGCCCGGCGCGCGCGGCGGACGAGAGGCCGAGGGGUCCGGCCGGCGCGCGGCGGAAGCAGGCCUCAGCCCUCCCCAGCCCGGCUUCCCGGACGCCGCUCCCCGCCGGCCCGGCCCCCGCCCGCGGACCCACGGAGGCGCGCAGGGCCUCACGCCGCCGGGACCCUCGCCGCUCCCCGCCCGGCGGCCUCCCCGACCCCCUCCGCGCCGGAGCCGCCCCGCCGGCCGGAGGAGAAGGGGCACCGCCGCGGCCGGUUCCCCGGGCCGCCGAGGAGAGGGGGCGGGAAGCCGAGCCCGGACCCAGCCUCCAACUCGGCUCCGCAGACGCUCACCCGGCAGCCGCCCGCUCCGCUUCCUCGCCCAGCGCCGGCGCGACUGCCGCGCUCGGCCCUCCUUCCCGCAACUCCUCCUCCCGCCUCCUUCCUCCUCCUCCUCCUCCUCCAGGAGGGGCGCGCCGGGCGCCGGCUCGAGCUGGAGCCGCAGCCGAGGAGCCGAGCCGGUAGCUCCGCGCCCACCACUCGGCCCGCGGCGCCGGCGGGCGUCUGCGCGGGGGGGUGGGCCGGUGGGGGCGGGGGUGGGGGUGUGCGGGGCGGGGCCGGGGGCGCCGCGGGGCCGGGGGGCCGGUCCCCGGCUCGAGUCGGAGUCCCGGCAUCUGCCCGCCCGGCGCGCCCCGCCCGCGCCCACUGGCCCGGCCGCUUGUCCGGUGCUGCCUCUGCCUUUGCAGCCUCCCCGCCUCGGCGGCCGGGCCGACGCGAAAAGGAAGAUGUCCUCGGCCCUCGGCCGCCGGCCCUGCCCUUGUCCCUGCGGUCGGGCGGCGGCCUCCACGCGGCCGAGACUUCAGGAUCAAGCGAUUCCUGGCCAAGAAACAAAAGCAGAAUCGUCCCAUUCUCCAGUGGAUUCCAAUGAAAGCUGGUAAUAAAAUCAGGUACAACUCCAAGAGAAGGCAUUGAAGAAGAACCAAGCUGGGUCUAUAAGGAGCCUCACAUAUGAAGUGGCACACAUUUACGCUAUCAAGGUCAAUUCUUACCGUAUCAGAACAUCACUAGUGUCUGGAACAGCUGCCUGUGUUUGAUGGGAGAAAUGGAAUGGCUCUCUCCUCUUUUCUUGAUCUUUCCUCACCACUGCUCACUGUGUAGCUCAGUAAUAAAUAUGUGAAACCUUUUGUUGGAAAAAAAAAAAUCUAACUUAAUAAUUGUUGGCUUUAAAACUUGUAUUUCUUGAAUAGUAUGGACCUUUUAAGGAGGAAACAAGGCUAGGGAAAAAAGUCUUAAAGUUGUUCCAAGGUGAAUUUGUAG